AAGAAUGUUGUCAGUAGAGUGUACAGUUUCAUUCUCGAUAAUACUUCUUUUAAUAUUCCAAUGCUGUUCUUGGAUUAUUGCUUCGUCGAUCAAAUCUGUGAAUGUUCCGCACGUUGUGCGGAACGGCACUGGACCGGUGGACCUAAUCUGCAUCUACGAGGUUGACAAAUACGAAAACGGACUUGUAAUUAAAUGGUUUCAUGAAGCGUAUCAAAUCUAUCAGUGGAUUCCACCGAUGCCACCGCAAGACGUUGGAAUCAUUCGAGAUAUCGCAGAGUAUCCGAGUGAAAACUUGAAAGAUCCAUAUUCCCGAUCUGUGAUUCGACUAAAAACCGUUACUGUCGACAUGACAGGAAAGUAUACGUGCGCAGUCAGCACAUUCCAAGACGAAACGAGCAACUCGACGAAGAUGAUAGUUUAUGUGCCAGAAAGCGACAUGACAGUGCGCACUUAUCCCUUUAACGAGACUCACGUGAAUUUAAUAUGCAUAGUCAUCGGUGUACAACCACGACCGUCUUUGAAGCUCUAUGUCGAAGGAGUCGAAAACAACGUUUGCGAUAAUAUUUGUGAAUCAUCAACAGAUCGGUACGAAGAUCUACGAGUAUCGCUGAACGUCAUUGUUAAAGACACGUUAGAUCCUGUGGUCGUUGAAUGCGAGAUGUCAAUCCCCGAGACGGAGUACAAGCGCCGAGAACGAAUCGUCUAUUAUCCUAGGUGGAAUGAAAAAGAGUGACUGGUGGGGAUGAUAUCUAGAAGUAGCGGCACCCUUGAAGAUUAUCAUUCACUUCCUGGCACUCAUCCAUAGAGGUUCGCACCAAAGUCAAGCUUAUCGUCAUAUCAAGCAAACGUUGUGUCCUUAAUUGCAAAUACUUCGUAAAAAUGAAUCAUACUUGGAUGCUGCUUUUUCUCGCAGUAUGCGCGCUGUGGACUAUUGGCGAGACCAUUUCUUGCGAUCAGUGCGGACGUGAGUGCGCUGACAUCUGCGGCACUCGACAAUUUCGCGCCUGUUGUUUCAACAAUAUGCGGAAGAGGAAUUUCGAUAUGUUUGGUCUGAAAUCCUGGAUGAGACCACAGAGAUAUACGUUCAAUUUAUAUCCGGCCUACGACGCUUAAACUUUUUCCUCUAUAUCGCGUAAUAAGAAUCCCUCGAUUUUUCAGACAGAUAUUCUUGGUCUAUCGAGGCUUCUGUAAGACACUUCCCUAAGCCGUGUAUCUCUUACGUAUAAAUGUGAAACAAAACCUUUGACGAAAAAAGCGCUACUUACUUCUACCUAAAAGUUGCAUAUCGUUUUUUUGGUUUGGAUCUUUAUUUGAUUCUUCUCUCAUUUCAACGCGGUUGACAUUUUUAAGUGAUUAAACGUAUUUUUUAAGCACUAGAAAUUUAGAUAAUUUCUUUGUAUAUCUCAAUUUCUCGAUUUUGUUGAGCAACAUGAUA